AUUGAACGCUAGCGGCAGGCUUAACACAUGCAAGUCGAACGAGUGGCGGACGGGUGAGUAAUGCUUGGGAAUCUGGCUUAUGGCGGGGGAUAACUACGGGAAACUGUAGCUAAUACCGCAUACCAUCGGAGGGGCCCAUGUGGGAUUAGGUAGUUGGUGGGGUAAAGGCUCACCAAGCCGACGAUCCCUAGCUGGUUUGAGAGGAUGACCAGCCACACUGGGACUGAGACACGGCCCAGACGCCUACGGGAGGCAGCAGUGGGGAAUUUUGCACAAUGGGGGCAACCCUGACGCAGCCAUGCCGCGUGUAUGAAGAAGGCCUUCGGGUUGUAAAGUACUUUCAGCAGGGAGGCGUUACCGGCAGAAGAAGCACCGGCUAACUCCGUGCCAGCAGCCGCGGUAAUUC
rnacentral:rRNA from 1 species